AACGCACAUUGCGCCCGCCAGUAUUCUGGCGGGCAUGCCUGUUCGAGCGUCAUUUCAACCCUCAAGCCUAGCUUGGUGUUGGGGAUCGGCACAAGGCGCCCUCGGGCGCCCGCCGUCCCCUAAAUCUAGUGGCGGUCCCGCUGCAGCCACCUCUGCGUAGUAGUUUUCUCCUCGCAAGGGCAGCUCGGUGGCGACCUCGCCGUAAAACCCCCAACUUCUGAAAGUUUGACCUCGAAUCAGGUAGGAAUACCCGCUGAACUUAA
rnacentral:misc_RNA from 2 species